rnacentral:rRNA from 1 species
UACGAAGGGUGCAAGCGUUACUCGGAAUUACUGGGCGUAAAGCGUGCGUAGGUGGUUUGUUAAGUCUGAUGUGAAAGCCCUGGGCUCAACCUGGGAAUUGCAUUGGAUACUGGCAGGCUAGAGUGCGGUAGAGGGUAGUGGAAUUCCCGGUGUAGCAGUGAAAUGCGUAGAUAUCAGGAGGAAUACCGAUGGCGAAGGCAGGUCUCUGGGCUGACACUGACGCUCAUGCACGAAAGCGUGGGGAGCAAACAGG